UACGAAGGAUGCAAGCGUUAUCCGGAAUUAUUGGGCGUAAAGCGUUUGUAGGCGGGCGAGUGUGUUUAAUGUUAAAUCUUAAAGCUCAACUUUGAAAUUGCGUUAAAAACUGCUUGUCUUGAGUAUGGUAGGGGUAAAGGGAAUGCCCAGUGUAGCUGUGAAAUGCGUAGAUAUUGGGAAGAACACUAAACAGCGAAGGCACUUUACUAUGCUAAUACUGACGCUGAGAAACGAAAGGUAAGGUAGCGAAACGG
rnacentral:rRNA from 1 species